AUGUGCAUUCCGAAGAAGAAAGGGGGUUUGGGGUUUAGAGACCCUUCACAUUUAAACCUUGCUAUGUUAGCAAAAUAGUGUUAGCGACUAAUCCAGGACCCGAAUUCUUUUUGUGCACAUGUAGUGAGUGCUAAAUACUUCACCGAUGGUAAUAUCUUAGGGGCUGGCUCGAAGAAGGGAUUGUCAUACACCUGGCAGAGUGUUGUUGCAUGA
rnacentral:rRNA from 1 species